rnacentral:rRNA from 1 species
UACGGAGGGAGCUAGCGUUGUUCGGAAUUACUGGGCGUAAAGCGCACGUAGGCGGAUUUUUAAGUCAGGGGUGAAAUCCCGGGGCUAAACCUCGGAACUGCCCUUGAAACUGGGAAGCUAGAAUCUUGGAGAGGCGAGUGGAAUUCCGAGUGUAUAGGUGAAAUUCGUAUAUAUUAGGAAGAACACCAGUGGCGAAGGCGACUCGCUGGACAAGUAUUGACGCUGAGUUGCGAAAUCGUGGGGAGCAAACAGG